rnacentral:rRNA from 1 species
GUGAGGAAUAUUGCGCAAUGGAGGCAACUCUGACGCAGCCAUGCCGCGUGCAGGAAGAAGGCGCUACGCGUUGUAAACUGCUUUUAACCGGGAAGAAACCCCAGGACGUGUCCUGGGUUGACGGUACCGGAGGAAUAAGCACCGGCUAACUUCGUGCCAGCAGCCGCGGUAAUACGAAGGGUGCAAUCGUUAUCCGGAUUCAUUGGGUUUAAAGGGUGCGUAGGCGGAGCGUUAAGUCAGUGGUGAAAUCCUGCAGCUUAACUGUAGACUUGCCAUUGAUACUGGCGCUCUUGAGUGCGCUUGAAGUGGGCGGAAUGUGCCGUGUAGCGGUGAAAUGCUUAGAUAUGGCACAGAACACCAAUUGCGAAGGCAGCUCACUAAGGCGAUACUGACGCUGAGGCACGAAAGCGUGGGGAUCGAACAGGAUUAGAUACCCGAGUAGUCC